UGGGGAAUCUUGCACAAUGGGCGAAAGCCUGAUGCAGCGACGCCGCGUGAGGGAAGAAGGCUUUCGGGUUGUAAACCUCUUUCAGGAGGGACGAAGCUACUCGGGUUAAUAGCCCAGAGGGUGACGGUACCUUCAGAAGAAGCCCCGGCUAACUACGUGCCAGCAGCCGCGGUAAUACGUAGGGGGGCAAGCGUUGUCCGGAUUUAUUGGGCGUAAAGAGCGUGUAGGCGGCCAGAUAGGUCCGUUGUGAAAACUCGAGGCUCAACCUCGAGACGCCGAUGGAAACCAUUUGGCUAGAGUCCGGAAGAGGAGAGUGGAAUUCCUGGUGUAGUGGUGAAAUGCGCAGAUAUCAGGAAGAACACCCCGUGGCUAAGGCGGCUCUCUAGUACGGUACUGACGCUGAGACGCGAAAGCGUGGGGAGC
rnacentral:rRNA from 1 species